CGCGUAGGUGGCUUGUCAGGUCCGGUGUGAAAUCCUGGGGCUUAACUCCAGGCGUGCAUCGGAAACCGGCUUGCUAGAGUCUGGGAGAGGAGAGUGGAAUUCCUGGUGUAGCGGUGAAAUGCGUAGAUAUCAGGAGGAACACCGGUAGCGAAGGCGGCUCUCUGGAACAGUACUGACGCUGAGGCGCGAAAGCUAGGGGAGCGAACA
rnacentral:rRNA from 1 species